AGAACGAACGCUGGCGGCAGGCCUAAUACAUGCAAGUCGAACGCACUCUUCGGAGUGAGUGGCAGACGGGUGAGUAACGCGUGGGAACCUUCCCAAUGGUACGGAAUAACUCCGGGAAACCGGUGCUAAUACCGUAUAAGCCCCUCGGGGGAAAGAUUUAUCGCCAUUGGAUGGGCCCGCGUCGGAUUAGCUAGUUGGUAAGGUAAUGGCUUACCAAGGCUACGAUCCGUAGCUGGUCUGAGAGGAUGAUCAGCCACACUGGGACUGAGACACGGCCCAGACUCCUACGGGAGGCAGCAGUAGGGAAUCUUGGACAAUGGGCGAAAGCCUGAUCCAGCCAUGCCGCGUGAGUGAAGAAGGCCUUAGGGUUGUAAAGCUCUUUUGGCGGGGUACGAUAAUGACGGUACCCGCAGAAUAAGCCCGGCUAACUUCGUGCCAGCAGCCGC
rnacentral:rRNA from 1 species